ensembl:lncRNA
GUGAGACUCAGAUCAGAAGAGUCAUUUACCGUUGACCGUGACUCACUGCUCUCAACUGAGCUGUGGACAAUGAGUUCCCAGGACUGGAAGGCGGGAGCAUAGGCUCUGUACCUCUAAGAAGCCCCAACAAGCUGAAUGGAAUUUUGACAGAUGGCAGAGGAAGCGGCAACACUUACCAGAAACUGGACUCGAACCAUCCUAUUGUUAAGAGUAUGAAGAUACUACAAGGGACUCAUGCGUCAGGUGGUGCUGCAGACUACCUGAGAUGUCAGGCAUGGAGCACAGCAAAGAGCAACGACGGCCCCAUCACGAACUCAGCAACAGCUGCUGCCUUGAUGACACUUCCUGAGCGCUUCCACAUUCUGGCCAGAGAGCCCGGUCAAAGGCUGCAAGGGCGAUGGACCCGGGCAGGCUUUUCCCCUCAGAAUCACAAAGUUAGAAUGGGCUAUCGAGAUCAACCAGCCAACCCACAGCUGAACAGAAAUCUCUUCCACCAUAGCCCUAAAAAAGUUGUUUUUCUGGUCUCCCCAUGAACACCUCCAGUGAUACGGAGCUCAUUGCCCUCGAAAGCAGUCCGUUCUGCUUUUGAACACCUCUAAUGUGGGGCAGGUUUCCCUAACAUCAAGUUAAUCUGGGUCCCAGAGAGCAGAACUAACAACAAUGGGUAGAAACCGUAGAGAGGCAGAGGAGAAAGAGGAGAAUCUCUUGUCGCCUAUACCAACUCUUCUUCCGUGUCCUAAACAUUAUUUUUCCAGGUAAUCUUCUUAUGGCAGCUAGGUGGCACCAUAGUGUAUAAAGCACUGGGCUUAGAGUCAAGAAGACCUGAAUUUAAAGAUGGCCUUAGACAUUCACUAGAUGGGUGAUCCUAAGUAAUUUUCUUAACCGCUGUUUGCCUCAGUUUCCUCAUUUGUAAAAUGAGGAUAAUAAUAGCACCUACAUCCAGGGUUGUUGUGGGGAUCUGUGGGGAUUGUAAAGUGCUUAGCACAGUAUCUGGCACAUAGUAAGUGCUACAUGAAAGUUUGUUGCUAUCAUCGUCAUCAUUAUCACCAUCUCCAGUUCUCUCAGCAUCCUGGUCUCCUUCCUCUUAGCUUCCAGAUUGGCAAUGUUCUUCCUUAAAUGUGGCGCCUGGAAUUUAAUACUGUAUCUGCCUGAGUUAGUUUGGUUAUCCCUCUUCUUCCUUCCGGACAUUAGGAGUAUAUUACACAAGCCUUAGAUAUUUCUUGAACACAAAAGGAGGAUGUAGUACAGGAUUAUUUUUUAAUACAGUUAUACCUUGAUUGAAGCAAACCAAGACAUGAAAACCUUGAUAAAUACACCAAUGAGUUAGGGGGCAAUUAUAAGCAUUACAAAAUGAUCACUAGAGGAUCCCUUAAAAUAGUAAAUUCCAUUAGCCCAUUUAAAAUCCCAUCCCCCACAUUUUCAAUGAACGCUUUUAUUGUAUGGAAGAGGUGGCACGUACAUAAAAAUAUUCUUUCUACUUCUGGCCAGAGGGAGCAACAAAAGGGUGGUUAUAACAAGUCAGAAACUCUUGCCUCCAUGGUCUUAGAGUGAAAAUGUAAAUAAAAGUCAUCUGUCCACGUCCA